rnacentral:rRNA from 1 species
GACGAACGCUGGCGGCGUGCCUAAUACAUGCAAGUUGAGCGCUGAAGGUUGGUACUUGUACCGACUGGAUGAGCAGCGAACGGGUGAGUAACGCGUGGGGAAUCUGCCUUUGAGCGGGGGACAACAUUUGGAAACGAAUGCUAAUACCGCAUAAAAACUUUAAACACAAGUUUUAAGUUUGAAAGAUGCAAUAGCAUCACUCAAAGAUGAUCCCGCGUUGUAUUAGCUAGUUGGUGAGGUAAAGGCUCACCAAGGCGAUGAUACAUAGCCGACCUGAGAGGGUGAUCGGCCACAUUGGGACUGAGACACGGCCCAAACUCCUACGGGAGGCAGCAGUAGGGAAUCUUCGGCAAUGGACGAAAGUCUGACCGAGCAACGCCGCGUGAGUGAAGAAGGUUUUCGGAUCGUAAAACUCUGUUGGUAGAGAAGAACGUUGGUGAGAGUGGAAAGCUCAUCAAGUGACGGUAACUACCCAGAAAGGGACGGCUAACUACGUG